GACGAACGCUGGCGGCGUGCUUAACACAUGCAAGUCGAACGGAAAGGCCCUGCUUUUGUGGGGUGCUCGAGUGGCGAACGGGUGAGUAACACGUGAGUAACCUGCCCUUGACUUUGGGAUAACUUCAGGAAACUGGGGCUAAUACCGGAUAGGAGCUCCUGCUGCAUGGUGGGGGUUGGAAAGUUUCGGCGGUUGGGGAUGGACUCGCGGCUUAUCAGCUUGUUGGUGGGGUAGUGGCUUACCAAGGCUUUGACGGGUAGCCGGCCUGAGAGGGUGACCGGCCACAUUGGUACUGGGGUACGGCCCAGACUCCUACGGGGGGCAGCAGUGGGGAAUAUUGCACAAUGGGCGGAAGCCUGAUGCAGCAACGCCGCGUGCGGGAAGACGGCCUUCGGGUUGUAAACCGCUUUCGCCUGUGACGAAGCGUGAGUGACGGUAAUGGGUAAAGAAGCACCGGCUAACUACGUG
rnacentral:rRNA from 1 species